rnacentral:rRNA from 1 species
UACGUAGGGCGCAAGCGUUGUCCGGAAUUAUUGGGCGUAAAGAGCUCGUAGGCGGCUUGUCACGUCGGGUGUGAAAGCCCGGGGCUUAACCCCGGGUCUGCAUUCGAUACGGGCUAGCUAGAGUGUGGUAGGGGAGAUCGGAAUUCCUGGUGUAGCGGUGAAAUGCGCAGAUAUCAGGAGGAACACCGGUGGCGAAGGCGGAUCUCUGGGUCGAUACUGACGCUGAGGUGCGAAAGCGUGGGGAGCAAACAGG